rnacentral:rRNA from 1 species
UCACUGCUAUCGGGGUUCGAUUAAGCCAUGCGAGUCAUAUGUUCUUCGUGAACAUGGCGUACUGCUCAGUAACACGUGGAUAACCUGCCCUUGGGACCGGGAUAACCCCGGGAAACUGGGGAUAAUACCGGAUAACACAUAUCUGCUGGAAUGCUUUAUGCGUAAAAUGGAUUUGUCUGCCCAAGGAUGGGUCUGCGGCCUAUCAGGUAGUAGUGGGUGUAAUGUACCUACUAGCCUACGACGGGUACGGGUUGUGAGGGCAAGAGCCCGGAGAUGGAUUCUGAGACAUGAAUCCAGGCCCUACGGGGCGCAGCAGGCGCGAAAACUUUACAAUGCGGGAAACCGUGAUAAGGGGACACCGAGUGCCAGCAUCAUAUGUUGGCUGUCCAGAUGUGUAAAAUACAUCUGUUAGCAAGGGCCGGGCAAGACCGGUGCCAGCCGCCGCGGUAACACCGGCGGCCCGAGUGGUGAUCGUGAUUAUUGGGUCUAAAGGGUCCGUAGCC